rnacentral:rRNA from 1 species
GAUGAACGCUGGCGGCGUGCCUAACACAUGCAAGUCGAGCGAACACACCAGGAGCUUUCUCCUCUGACGUUAUCGGCGGACGGGUGAGUAACACGUGGAUAACCUACCUAUCAGACUGGGAUAACUACGCGAAACCGGAUCUACUACCGGAUAAUAUAUUGCACCGCAUGGUUCACUAGUGAGAGACGGUUUUUCUUUCACUUAUAGAUGGAUCCGCGCCGCGUUAGUUAGUUGGUAAGGUAACGGCAUACCAAGCCAAGGACGCGAAGCCGACCUGAAAGGGUGGUCGGCCACCCUGGAGCUGAGCCACGGCCCAGACUCCUACGCGAGGCAGCGGAAGAGAAUCUUCCGCAAGGGGAGAGAGGCGAACGGAGCAACGCCGCGUAAGGGAUGAAAGUCUUCGGAUCGGAAAACUAUGUUAUUUGGGAGGAAGAAAAGUGUAAGUAACUAGGCACGUAUUGACGGUACCUAAUGAAAAAGCCACGGCUAACUACGUG